rnacentral:rRNA from 1 species
CUACGGGAGGCUGCAGUGAGGAAUAUUGCACAAUGGGGGAAACCCUGAUGCAGCAACGCCGCGUGGAGGAUGACGCAUUUCGGUGUGUAAACUCCUUUUAUGAGUCAAGAAAAUGACGGUAGCUCAUGAAUAAGCACCGGCUAACUCCGUGCCAGCAGCCGCGGUAAUACGGAGGGUGCAAGCGUUACUCGGAAUCACUGGGCGUAAAGGACGCGUAGGCGGGCUUGUAAGUCAGGUGUGAAAUCCUACAGCUUAACUGUAGAACUGCACUUGAAACUACGAGCCUAGAGUAUGGGAGGGGCAGAUGGAAUUAGUGGUGUAGGGGUAAAAUCCGUAGAUAUCACUAGGAAUACCGAAAGCGAAGGCGAUCUGCUGGAACAUUACUGACGCUAAGGCGUGAAAGCGUGGGGAGCAAACGGGAUUAGAUACCCCCGUAGUC